UUGUAUUAGCACCCCAUGCCAGUCAGCACAUGUAUUAGCACCCCAUGCCAGUCAGCACAUACUAGAUUUGUUAUUCUUAGAGUCAGUUCCCAGGCUUUAUGUUUCUACAUCAUGUGUUAAAUGUUGACCUUUUUAUUAAUCCUAAGGACAACGAGUUGGUAAAUGGUACAAUACAACAAUCAAUGGACUCCUCUCUCAGUAGUGUAGUCACACCAUGAAACCCAAGAGAUCUAUGUGUAUGUACCAAGACAUAAACAUAGAACAUGACUUUGUGUAAGUUCUGUUUUCACUUUGACUCAGUUAUCAAUUGAUUUACUCAGCAAUAGCUCAAAGUAUUUGCCAGUUUCAACUUCUGAAAUGCUAGACCAGAAGUCAAUUCUGUUUCACUAGUCUACCUAGUUGUGUGUGUAUCUGACUGCUGUCCAGUGUUUAGGCUAGUUGUAUUUAACACUUGCUAUUUCUAAUAUUACUUGUACUGCACUGGAACAGGUAGUCACUGUUCUCUUACCAAAUCUUUGGUCACAUAGAAACCUUUUGUUUUUUUGUUUUUUAAUCUCUUUUUUACAUUUAUUUCUGUAUUUCAUGCAACAACUUUGUUUAGAUCUAGAUGAAGAAAUGUCUUCAAAUUUAUUUCCAAACCUUUGAACCUGACACACUAUGUUGACUACAUUUACAAGAAUAAAAUGUUUUGUUUUAGUGACUGUUGUUUAUUGUAGAAGCAGCAAAUAUUUGUUACUUCAUGAAAUAGUAGAAAGUGGCUGUUAAUGAGGACAGUACUAACAAUAUCUGAUUUUCUGUUUUGGUUUUCUUAGGAGUGUGUUUGUACCGUACAUAUGUAAUACUGAUGACUUGACAUUGAUUUAUACUAUACAUAUGUAAUACUGGUGACUUGAGAUUGGCUUAUACCAGUGUUUCUCAAACUUUUUUGUCUGCCAGCACAGUAAAAAAACUAAAAAAAAUUCGCGGCACACCAGGAAGAACAACAGAUAUUUUAUAAUAAAAUGAACAUUUAUUCGACCUGUUUUU